GGUCUCAUGCUAUUUGACAUCGCUCCUAUCGCUCCAAGGAGGUGGAUGACCUGAAGUUCGCCAGUGUGAAGGAUUUAUUAUUAGGAAUCUGAAGAAGCUAUUUACAUGUGGAACACUGAAGAAAGGCCAAGGGACAUUAAAGACAUACGGUAAUCAAAUUUUACAAGAAGAGAGAUGGGGCCAAGACUCCUUAUCAGCUACAGUCAGACAGAAGUACACUGAGCCUCUAUCAGGACCCAAGAGACAAGCUUCCAAAGCAGCCAGGAGGAUGAAACCAUAACAGUGCAUAAGGAGAGUUGACGAAGAGGGCUCUGAUGCUGAAGUAUAUUUGAG